UAAAAUAUUUUUGAGCUUUUUCUAUUUUUUUUCUUUAUAUCAUUUUUUUUAAAAGACAUUAAAUCAAACCGAAGUGAACUAAUUUGAUUCAAUAUCGCAUACUUUUCAAUAUAAAAAAUUGAAUGGAAGUUUGAUAAAAAUCAAAUAGAGAAAAUUGAAAUAUUUCUUCCAUACCCAACAACCCCCUAAUGAGCUUCAUUUUCAAUCCUUUUCUAUCGAACCCGAACGAAAGUUGAGAAUCUUCACCAAUAAACAGGUAGGAAAUUGUAGUACUGCUCACUAGGUAUAAAGAAUUCAUCUGGGUUGAUGGAGAACACAGUGCCGAUUUCCACUACUGCUCCAUCAAACUCCAGUACUGGCAAUCGCCGAUCACAGCCACGCUACUUGUACUGUAGCUGCUUCAGGCGCUGCUGCCGCUGUUUCUGCUGCUUCUACUCCUAUCCAUGAUUCGUUGAUCAGAUUCUCUUGACUGCUUGUAAAUAUACGAUGUCUUUUCAGUAUAUAGAAGUGUUGUACAGUUUUCACUUUGUAUUAUUAUACUUUUCGCCCUUUUGUUGAAUAAAGAAUCAAUUGAUGAUCUAUAGCUUUUGUUGGCUAAAGUGAAUUAGUUUAUGUGUAGUUGUAGAAUUAGGAAACAAUUGAUGAUUUCUAUGUGCUAUUCGUAUUAGUGGCUAGUUUAAUUGUUUUCAUGUGAAGGAAAAUUGAGAUGACAGAUAUAUAAUGAGUUAGUUGAAUUUGUUGAUAAUCAUGUAUUAUGAACAAGUAUGUGAAACUUAGGCCUUUUUGGUGUGGCAACAUGUUUUCCUUUGUGAAAUUCUAUUAUGGUGUUUGGUUGCUGAAAUUGUUGGAAAUAAUUUACUAAAUAAGUGUGUGCAACAUUUUCUACUUCCUUCCUACUCCGUUGAAAACUUGCUACUGUUGAGGCAACUGAUUUUCUUAGCAUAGCAUUUUUCCGCGUAAAAUAUGAGCUUUUGGAAUUUUAUUACUUUGUACCAAACAUGGCUUUGCUCCUUUUACCUGAAAAAGACGGAGGCUGAAAAUGAGAAUUCAGGACUGGUGACUACUUGAGUUGUAUGGUCUCAUGUGCUUUUGGUUAAGAAAUCUCCGUACCCAAUUAAAAUUAUGUAUCAAAAGAUUUCUCUAACUUCUGGGAUGUUUGUCUGUUUGUAAAAAUAAGUAUGCGAUUGCUAUAUACACCCACUCAAUACAUUUGGUAUGGUAUAAGAUUCACUGUCCUGAAUAAAUCCAAAAAUUGUUGAAUUCGACAAGUGAUUCCAUCAUUUCUUGUUCAAUAAGAGACAAAUUGUCCGGGCAUGGUCUUUUAAUGAGGAAUCAAGCCAUUACUUUGUAAUUGCUUUAUAUAUGUGAAGAAUUUCUUGCCUGCAUUAGUUGCAUGCUAGUGGAGAGCGUCAUUAAAUAGAAGAAAAAUGAAGUGUCCAAUAAUUAUGUGAAGGUUUAGAGCAGUUAUGUGACUUCAAAAAAAAGUGUCGAUGUAAGUAGUGUGGAUACAAGCACAUAUCAGAAGUUAUGUUGAAGAUAGAAGAUGGAUGGCAUGCAUACAUGACCUAGAAGGUAUCUAUUAGCUGCUGAGGUAUGUGGUACUGUUCCAAGUAGCUAUAUGCAAUUGUAAAGAUUGAUAUAUGUGUGGGUGAAAUCCUAUUUCAUUGCUAUAUAAGCUGAAAUGGAACAGUAAGGCUUAUGGAAUUACUAUGGUUUGAGCCAAAUAUGUGAUUUACUGUCUAAUUAGAGCUACCAAUCUGAGAGCUUUCAGGACUUCAACUUGUCAAUCCGUAAGUUCACUUCUUAGCUCACAUUAUAAUCUAUCAAUCUCAAAGAAGUUGUCCCUUUCAUAGUGGCCACGUGUGGGAGAAGGGUGGUGAAAGAUCAUUUUGUCUAUGAUUGGAACCAUUUAAACAAAAUAGUUAGUUGCUUUACUACUUGAAUAAGAAACUAUCUCAGUAGUUUGUAAUAGUUGACACUGCUCUAUACUCAUAAUACUCGUAAUUUGGUUUAGUGUUUUCAAAUAUCUUCACACUAGAUUGAAGCAACAUUGUGUGGGUGCUCCUUUUAUUGUCUUUCAUUUACAAGUUCUUUUAACUUUGACUUUAAUUUCGUUAUUUUUUUAAAUGCAUCUUUCUACUAGGCUCCUCUAUAUCUAUCUUCAAAGACCAGAUUAGAGAAUUAUUGUGGAGAACACUGAUGACCAACCACCAUUCAAGGCACUCUCCAAAUUAAACAGAAAAUCUUUAUAUGCAUGUUGCACAUGUUCAAUUCCUCCCUUCUCGUCUUCUGUGCAAUUUUUUGAACUUUAUUGUUCAUUGUCCUGAUAUUAUCUUCCUGCUGUUGUCAUUCUCAAUUUGCAUAUACACCUUUCAACAACAAAAUACCCAGUGUAGUUCCACAAAGUGGGGUCUAGAUUUGCAUGUGAACCUUUAUUGGGUGAAAUUCUGUACUAAAUUUUGUAGGUUCCAUUCUUUGGUGCUGCAAGGUUGGAAAAUGUUGUCAUUGCUUUGUAAGUUUUUUUUUUUUUUUUUUAACAACGAUUGCUUCGUAAGUUUCUUUGUUCUCUGUCAUUUAAGAAGGUGACUAUUCCAUGUCUCUCUGGUGAAAAACUACUAAGAGGAUUUCAACCAACCAACUGUUAUCUACUUUCUCCGUAUGAAAAAUUAUUCUAUAGAGAAUUUACUACUAUGGAUUUGAUGAAAAUUUCCUAAAUUUAGUAGAAUGCUCUUUUUUUUUUCAAAAGAAUGGAAGUUGUCAGUAUGCAAUGUUAAGAGUUUGAAUAUUUAAAGUAUUAGGUGUAUGUUAGAAUAUACUUGUCUUAUGUUGAAUACCUAUGAAUUGAUAUACCCUGUAUUCAUCAAAUUGCCUAGCCUUCAAUAUAUCUCUACCACCUAAGCUUAAAGGCAAGUUCUACAAUUUGUUGUGUGGGAUGGAGUUUGGCCAAUCAAGAACUCCCAUAGUCCCAUGUUCAACAGGUGCAUGUUGAGGAAAUGAGGAUGCUUAGAUGGAUGUAUGGGUAUCCUAGGAGCGAUAAGAUUAAGAAUGAGGAUAUCCGAGCAAAGGUGGGAGUGGAAUUAGUGGUGGACAAGAUGAGUGAAGCGAGGCUGAGAUAGUUUGUGCAUGUGAAGAGGAGAUACACAGAUGCUUUUGUGAGGAGGUGUGAGAGGUUGGAUAUAGUGGGUGCAAGGAGAGGUAGAGGUAGGCUGAAAAAGCAUUGUGGAGAGGUUAUUAGAGGACAUGGCACAAUUCUAGCUUACUGAGGACCUGUCCUUAGAUAGGAGGGUGUGGAGGUCACAAAUUACGGUAGAAGGUUAACAUGUAGUGGAAGGUUCUCUUGCUUCCUGAAGGGUUUAGGCUUAGUGGUGUCUGUAGUAGUAGUAGCUUUUUUCUUGUAAUGUCUUGCGUUUGCUUUUUAACACCAUCUAUUUUUAUGAUGUUUCGUUGAUUGCAUUCUUUUGUUGUUGUUACUGUUUCCAUAGUAGUUGCUAUAUUUUCUUCUCUGUCCUUUUUCCUUUUCAUACUUACUUUGAUUGCUGUACUCGAGUCUAAGGUCUUGUAGAAACAGCUUUUCUACCUCCGCGACUGGUAUUUCACUGGGUAUGUUAAUGUCUGCAUACUCUCUACCUCCCAGACACACUUGUGGGAUUUCACUGUGUAUGUUGUUGUUUUUGGUAUCCUUAAGUUUUAAGUAAUUUCUGCCUGCUGGUUCUCUUACACUGCUUGGCCGGCUAAAGGUCUUUUUCUUUCUGGUGUAGGGCUGUCUGCCUGGCCAAAGUCUUCUCUUCUUUUCCUCUAUCUGGCAAUUGUUCUGACAUCGUCACCUUCUCUUUGACAAUUACUCUAGCACGCCAUGCCUCUAUCCUCACUCUCACACUCUGCCUUUUCUGGACAACGGCUUUGACAGCACUAUGCCCCUUAACAGUGAUUGCUCCAGUGGAACCACACCUCUUUUGGCGACCAUUCCAAUACCACUGCUCUUAAUUUCUAUGUCACUCCCAUAGCAGUGGGCCUCUAUUCAGGAAACUGUUCAAACGGAUUUGUGCGUUUCCUCAAUGAUAUUUCUGGCAAUGCCAUGUUUCUUCUGGUGAUCUUUCUGGUGGCGCAGCGUCUCAUUCAGCUGACCAACCAGCCAAAUAGCGUGCCUCUUUUCAAAUAAUAUUCUUACUACAAUUUUCCUUGCAACAUCCCAGCAACCACAACUUUUCUGACAACUUUGUACCUAUUUUCCAGUGAUAUUUCUAUAUUACUAUAAUAAGCAAACUCAAGUUGGUUUCUCCACUUUGAAAUGUUGAGUCCUGUGAUGGAUAUUGUUGUACUGGAAAAAUAUUGGAUCUGUGUCAUGUUUAACACUUAAUAAUAGUAAGUCUCAUUCACUUCUCUUGUUUCUCAUUCGUUCAUAGUACUUUCAAUGUGGCCCAGGAAUAUCCCCAAUUAGUUUAAGUGAAAUCAAGGAAAUGAUCAACCAGAAAAUUGAAGUGUUUAACCUCAUCAUACUCUGAGCCGCUGAAAGGAUAUGUUUGGGUCAUUUCUUUUCAUGAGGUAACACGACUCCAGAAGUACAUGAAGAGAUGAAGUCCAUCAUGCGUGUUUCUUCUUAUCCGCUCUUUAUUCAUCCAUUUCUCUUCUCUGUUUGAUCCUUUUAAGGAAAGCACAGGUCAAAGAUAAAGGUAUGACAACCUAAACAAUGGAGUGGGAUGCUGUCCACUUCUCCUGCUAAUUUCCAUCAGAACUCAGUUCUCGGGCAUCCAUCACUAGCAAGGGAAAGUGGGUAACCAGUCUCCUCCGCCCUCGCCUUUCCCUCUCCUCCUCUUUAUUUAGGGGCAUGGAGGAGUAAGUAAGUGGCUUGAGGGGGCCUUUAGGAGUGUGAAAGACCGGGAUUAUGAAAAAAGAGAUGCAUAGAUAUGCAGAGUACAAGUUGCAUCUUGUGGGGUACUGGAACUAGGAAAGUUGUGAAAUGAAUAGAACUAAAAUGACCUCUUCUUUUUGAACCCCUGGGGGUGGCUUAGUGGUUGAAGUGCUGGAGUGAUUGUAGUUCAAAUUCCAGUAGAGGUGAGAUUCUGUGAUUCUUGCUAUCUAUUUAAGUCUGUAUGUAUAGGGUUACCAAAUCUUGGAAAUUAGUCAAAGUGUGUGUCUACUGGCCCUGAUAUCGCCAUUCUUACAAAUAUGGUCUCACUUUCAUAUCCUCAUUGUCCAAUUCCUCAAAAUGAUAAUUUAAUGGCUAUUGGUGCCUUUGGUUUUCUGUAUCAUCGCAGAAGCUGAUUUCUCUCUCGUUUUUGUAUCUCCGAUUUUGCGAGAGGAAGAUAUAUGCAAGAUUGGUAGUCUGGUUUUCAUGGUACAUGCACCAAAUGGAGGACCCUAAGCAUGUUCCAUGUCUUUCAAAAUGAUCUCAAGUUGUCAUAUCCAAAAAAAAUAUAUGUAUAUCUUGCUGCUAAUUAAAUCAUCCUAUUUAUGUUUGAAGAUAUGAGUAUCGACCAGAGUAAAUUUGACAAGGAAUGUGUCUAGCAGUGUGCUUGGUUGUGGGUACAUUUUUGCUGGUCUUUAUUCAUUCUAGUAGAAAGUGAUAAAAAAAAAUAGAUUUAUUCGUCAGCUGAAGCAUAUGAGGCUUGAGAAUUUGCAUGAACACGAGUCAAUUUCAAGAAAAAUCCUGGUAUCUGUUGAGGUUUUUGCUUGAAAUGAAAACCACCAGGUUUUACUGCGGAUUUGAUGAUCUUGUGUCUUCAAGUUCCUUUGCUAGCAAUCUCUUCGAAAAAGGGCAAUUUAAUGUUAACCUUCUAUCUCUUUACCCUUCCUUCUCUCCCGCUUCAACAAGUGGCAUCAACUGUUACUGUUUUAAUUCUCUGAAUCCUCUUCCUCUCUUUCUGUUUCUUGCUGUCACCUGUCCCUCACUAAUGAAAUUAUGUGAUCAAUCGCAAACUGUGCAACCACCUAAUGCUUUUCGGCCUAUGAUAAUGAAAUUUCAUGUUUUGUAGUGCUACUAUUGGUGCUUUAUAUCAAUCUGUGAAACGCAAACCUAAAUUGUACCAACACAAUGGUAUUUUUUACGAUAGUUAGCUUAAAAAAAGGUGCAAAUAUUUGACUUGACCAUAGAUGUGGUUGAUCUCUUCUGUAAAUAGAUAUUGUUUUCCUCCUCAAGGAAAAGUAAUGAAUAUUUUGGAUCGAUAAAAAACUAGAGAACAUAUCUUAGUGAAUGUUUAUUUCUAUAGCAUUACAGUGAAUCAUCAGCGAUCUGUAAAGAAAAACUAAGAAAUCCUUCUCAAAAGGAGAUAAAAUAACUGGAAUUUGGUGUUUCUGAUCAAGUCUUCAAGAACUACACAGCUCAUAGAAGAGGAACCUGAUAGUCUGAAGGUGUUGUUCUAUUUUCGACUGAAUGGCUGACACUCCUCAUUCCAGCCGGAUAUUAUAGUAGUUUGUUCUACCCUGGGGUUAGUUGUGCCAUUUAUGGUGGUUAUAGUGAAGCAUAUCUCGUUAAGGCCAUCCAUUACUAUCAUUUCACUAAUUUGAAGUUUGACUUGCUUUUUAUUGGCCAAGGGAAUUUUGGCAGGAGGGAUUUCUAGCUUGAUCUUAAUCUUGGCAAGACGAACCCAAAUGAGUGAAAUUGUUUACUCGAGAUCAAAGAGCCUACUUCAUGCAUUUAUUAUGUGUCACUGCUUAAUCAUUCUUGGAAGGCUACACAACUAAAACACAUUUGGUUGGAUAAUAGUUUGUGCAUGGAUUUUGAUACUUUAAACUUCUAUCCUUUUUCCCAGGUAUCUGCUCAAAGAGUUUUCCAGGGCAGUGUGUUGAUAAAUUGCAUACUUGUGAACUGGUGUAAGUCACACUUGAUUUGACUGAAUAUAUCAAUACUUUAUGUGACAGUUGCAGGAGAAGAGCAUAAAAGUCCACGAGACAGAACGGAUAUUGGCAAACCCUACUGGCAAGAUCUUUUUACAUGCAAUGCAUAAAUCAUACUGAUAUUCUUAUAUGACGAGCUGAAAGUUUUGUUGAAUUCAACCUCCUUGUUAGCUUUCCUUGCACAACCCUCCUCCCUUGUCUAUAUCUCACUGUUAUAUGGUGUAUAAUUGUCCUAGAACUCAUAGUCAGCCUUCUUUAUUGCCUAGUCGUCUUAAUGUUCAUAAUGAGCAGAAAUAUUAAUAUGGAAACGUAAAGAUAUGACUAUUGAAUCUAAUUCAACCCCAAAAGCAAGCUCAUGAGGAGAAGAUCGCUCAAGUUCAUAUAAGUAGUCCAUCUGUUCAUUCUUCACCCAAUGUAAGAUUCUAAUCCAUUCUUACACCUUCUUCAUGCCUAGACUCAACUUGAGCCUGGACUAGGAGCUCAAACGAGGGUGGAACUGUCCUUGAUACCAUGUGAAGUAUAACAUUUGAGGCUAAUUCAACUCUUAAUGCAAGUUCAUGAGGGGAGGAUUUUGUCCAAGUUCAUAUAAAUAGACCAUCCGUCCAUUCUCCAAUCAAUGGGAUCCUUGUAGCAUGAUAAAAGUCUUCGUACAACCUACAGAUCACAGAUUCGAGUCGUGGGAUUCAGCUAGCUAGGUUGACUGUUACAUUACACUCCUUGAGGUACGGUCUUUCCCUGAAUCAUGCGUGAAUGUGGGAUGUUUAGUUUACGUUGCUCUUUUAUUUGCAAGUCUACUUAUUUUUGUGUUCCACUCCGUGGUCCUGGGAAAGUGCCAUAAACGAUGUUACCUGCAAGUUGUUCCUUAAUAGUAUUUAUUCUUUGUCCCCUUAUCCGCUGGCUUGACUGCUAGUUUCAUGUCAUCGAAAGCGAGGGGUUUCUUUUUUAUCUUUUUGUCUUUUCUACUUAAAUCCCAAUGGACCUAUUGCACUUGUUACAUUUCAUUUUAGAGUUUGCACCUUUUUUCUCUCUUUA